rnacentral:rRNA from 1 species
UGGGGAAUUUUGGACAAUGGGCGAAAGCCUGAUCCAGCAAUGCCGCGUGUGUGAAGAAGGCCUUCGGGUUGUAAAGCACUUUUGUCCGGAAAGAAAUCCUUGGCUCUAAUACAGUCGGGGGAUGACGGUACCGGAAGAAUAAGCACCGGCUAACUACGUGCCAGCAGCCGCGGUAAUACGUAGGGUGCAAGCGUUAAUCGGAAUUACUGGGCGUAAAGCGUGCGCAGGCGGUUUGCUAAGACCGAUGUGAAAUCCCCGGGCUCAACCUGGGAACUGCAUUGGUGACUGGCAGGCUAGAGUAUGGCAGAGGGGGGUAGAAUUCCACGUGUAGCAGUGAAAUGCGUAGAGAUGUGGAGGAAUACCGAUGGCGAGGGCAGCCCCCUGGGCCAAAUACUGACGCUCAUGCACGAAAGCGUGGGGGAGCAAAACAGGAUUAGAUACCCUGGUAGUCCACGCCCUAAAACGAUGUCAACUAGUUGUUGGGGAUUCAUUUCCUUAGUAACGUAGCUAACGCGUGAAGUUGACCGCCUGGGGAGUACGGUCGCAAGAUUAAAACUCAAAUGAAUUGACGGGGUCAUAGCUGUUUCCU